rnacentral:lncRNA from 1 species
AAACUGUAGUCGCAGUUGACAAGUGCUACUUCAGUCACUAAUAACAACUUCAGAAGUGCUAGUGGUGUCUUGGUUCUUAAUGCUGUGGCUCAGAGCUCUGGGAACGUCUUUCCAGGUCAUUUAGAGCCAUCCAUCUGAUCUGAAACAAGAGCAGUCAGUCUCUUCACAGGCUCUGCUCCUUGCUGGCUGCAAGGUCCUCUGUUCAUCCCCUCAAGGCUGCAGCAGUGGCACAUCCAGGCAGCUGUCUGCCUUCUGGAAGAGCUCCAUUUACCUGCAAUGAUGUCAGUGUUUGCAUCAAGGAAAAGGUGAGGGGUCCAUCACCUAAUAGCUGAAUACAGCCCUUUCAUGGGAGGAGGCUCUUGCCCCAUCUCAGUUUUUCUUUAAUUUUAACCUUAAUUUUAACUUUUUUUUGAAGCAGGUUGAACCCUCUCCUGAGAAAGUCUGUCUGUACAGAAGGAGCAAGACAAGCACUCGGACACAAGUCCCAGCUUUGCAGCUGCAGAAUGCCAACAACACCACCUGGAAAUCCAUCUCAGAUGCCACUUCUUCUUCAAGCAGAUCUUCCCACCUGUCUCAAGCCAGAUGUUUUGAACAGUCAUGGAACUACCUGCAAAUAAUGCUGUGCUCCUGCUUCUCCAGUGUGUCUUCCUAGACCUGAUGUCAGCUUCUUGCUUGUGGAGACAAAGAAUGUCACCAUGAAUGUCCAUUGGCAAACUGGAUAAGAAAAGAGUGUCACAGUGCAGGACAACCUAGAAGAUGACAGGUAUUUCCAGGCAUAGCAAUGAUGAGAUCAAAUUCCCCUCAACCUGCCUUGUUUGCUGAUCUUUUAAUCAGAUUCAACUUCACUGCAGCUACAGCACAAGGUUCCCUGACAAUGUAUGACAGCAUGUGACAGAAAAAUAUUUUGAUUUUUUUUUUUUCUUUGACCAUUUGAUGUUAUUUCAGAUAUAUCUGAAGCCCUGGCAGCAUCUGCUAAAUCUACUGAACUGUUUUAGUGG